AUGGCUGGUCCAGCUGGUUUCCUGCCAAUUCUUGGAUGGGUCAUCCUAGUCCAGAGUAUCAUGGAAAAUUGUCCACACAGCUUGAGUGAGUGAUUUAAGGGUUUACACAUGUCUCAACUCAGAAAUCCAAGCUCUCCCCAGGACUGUUCUAACGGCAGUUCUAAAAGCCUCUUGCUUUGGAGGCCAGGUAGAUGUGAAGCUUGGCAGUGCAUGGACAUAUACUUAACCAUACAGAGAAUAUCAGCCCAGCCUGUAGCAGGUAAACAAGAGCCCAGCACAGAAGAAAAGGCAGAGCUACAAGAAGACAGUGCCACAUUAUUUUCGUUGGAAUCUAUGUACGCAUCUAUGCCUGAGCCAGAAGAGGUGAAGCAAAGUUGCUGACUUCAGCCUCGAGCCGAUAAGGAGGAAAAGAGCUUGGCAGUUUAAAGAUGCUCAAUGACUGUAGGAAGAAGAUACUGGAUUUUCAAAAUAACAUUUGAUGAAAGCAACUGCCAUGCAGUGAUGAGAACAGGUCUGGGAGGCUCAAGACCUGGUUUGACAUCCUGACUCCAAUUGGUUCAUAUGAGGUGACAAGGAGAAGAUGUCCAUCUGGAAACCUUCAGGAAGUGGAUCUUCACCAGACACCAGAUCUGCUGGUACUUUGCUCUGGACUUCUCAGUCUCCAGAACUGUGAGAAAUAAGUGUCUGUUGUUUAAGCCACUCAAUCAAUAGCAUUUUGUCAUAGCAUCCUAAACUGUCUGGUGGAGUUUGUAUUGUUUCAACCUAAAGCCCUGAAUGAUGUGAAUGGUUAACCAUUUAUAAACCACUGAAGUUGACUCAGCACAUUAUCUUGUACAUGGUGG